rnacentral:tRNA from 1 species
GUAAGUAUAGUUUAAUUUAAAAUAUUAGAUUGUGAUUCUAAGGAUAGAGGUUAAAAUCCUCUUACUCACC